GACGAACCGUGCAAACGUUGUUCGGAAUCACUGGGCUUAAAGGGCGCGUAGGCGGCGCGGUAAGUCGGGUGUGAAAUCUCGGAGCUUAACUCCGAAACUGCAUUCGAUACUGCCGUGCUUGAGGACUGGAGAGGAGACUGGAAUUUACGGUGUAGCGGUGAAAUGCGUAGAUAUCUGGAGGAAUACCGGUGGCGAAGGCGGCAUCCUGGACCGAGAUUGACACUGAUGAGCGAAAGCCAGGGGAGCAAACGGG
rnacentral:rRNA from 1 species